rnacentral:lncRNA from 13 species
AUGAAUAAAACCCCAAGUGAUAUAGAUCCACCAUGGCACCCGGGGGGAUACGAGGUGAUACAGUUUCGCUGUGACGCAGGUCAAACCUUGCCACUGGGACCGUAUGGGUGCCACGCAGGCGCACUUGGGCAGACAGCAGAGCUGGUCGACAGGUAUCUGAGUGGACCGACUGUAGCAACGCAACUAGCACAGACCGGACAGGCUCGGAACACCGCAUCAAAUAGAGGCUCUUCACACGAGACAACACCUGAAGAGAGAGAAUACAACACCUCUCAUAUCCUGGCAGGAGGUCUCAUAGAGAGAGUUUUUGGAGUGUGGAAAAAAAGAUUCCCGUGCCUAAAGGAGGGGUUCUGCACGAAGAUGGACACUACCCUGACAGUCGUUAUUGCAGUGGCAGUUCUGUAUAACUUUGGCAAGAGACAAGGAGACGAUCUACCUGAGGAGGCUGAGGAGGACCUACCUGAGGAGGCUGAGGAGGACCUACCUGAGGAGGCUGAGGAGGACCUACCUGAGGAGGCUGAGGAGGACCUACCUGAGGAGGCUGAGGAGGACCUACCUGAGGAGGCUGAGGAGGACCUGUCUGAGGAGGCUGAGGAGGACCUGUCUGAGGAGGCUGAGGAGGACCUGUCUGAGGAGGACCUACCUGAGGAGGACCUACCUGAGGAGGCUGAGGAGGACCUGGCUGAGGAGGACCUACCUGAGGAGGCUGAGGAGGACCUACCUGAGGAGGCUGAGGAGAACCUACCUCAGGAGGCUGAGGAGAACCUACCUCAGGAGGCUGAGGAGAACCUACCUCAGGAGACCGUGGAGGAACAUGCUGCCGAUGCCAUUGGGAAUGCUGUGAGGAGAACCUUGAUUGAGAACCAUUUUGCAGCCUAAGGUGUGUAUAAUGUAGCAUUGGUAACAUGUAAAAAGCAAUAUAAGAUUUUGAUCGACACAUACAAUUCCUAAUUAGGCUAUCUGUAUAGGUAUUAUUAAGACUUUGUUAUUCUCAAUACCAUACAGGGUGGCACUGGAAGCACCAGAACACAAGAGUGGAGGACACUGCUUGGGAAAGCAUUAUUGUUACUGUCAUUUAAUGAUGCCAAUGUGCUUUCAUUAAUUGAAAACCCUUAAUCUAUUUUAUGAGAAUUUGUAAGAUUCUUGUUUGCAUAAAAUAGACGCAGACCAGUCUUUCAAAAAUAGGUAACAGAAUUUAUUCUCGGAGCGCGCUGCCACUUAACCACGAACAACAGUUUAUAUACAGAUCAUGACGUCAUUUCAUUGCUUUAACAGAAUCCCCUCCUCUCGACCGGGACAAAGUGAGGUGAAAAUUUCAUUCUAACUUACUAACACACUCCCAGGUAACUUUUGACCCCUCAACAUUAUCGAUCACCACUGAGCUGACAGUUCUAAUUAACAGAAAAGACAGUGAGUGCAUUCCUAGGUUAUCUAAAAAACCCAGAACUAAGUUUCUGUAGGGUCAACCAUAGGGUAACGACCUUAUCUGUUUUCACAGUCCCCAACCCAUUCGUUUCUUCCUAGUUGGAAUGGUGUUCAUUAACUUUAAUUACUCCUUGUCCGUGUCUCACAAUCCCUUCUUAUGAACUCAUAUUGUUAAUCAGAUAUAAUAAAACAGAGUACAAGUUUACUUAGUUACAGUUCCAUUUAAAAUGAUUUGUUCAGUCAUUUAAUCAUACCAACAAUUGUUUUAAUAAAUAAUUGCUUAAAUACAUAAAAAGAUCAGCAUUCAUUACACAGUGGGCAUUUGUUUCCCUGAAGGAGUUUCUGUUUGUGAAUUCACAGUAGCUCUUUUUGUAAAUUCAGGACCUCAAUCUGCAGUAGAUUUUUCUCUCGCCCCAGCUCCAAAACAUCAAUAUGAGCUUGGUUCAUGUCAGUUCUGGGGCGUUUGCUUGGCCUGUCUGGUGUUUUUGUUGCUGGUGCAAGAUCUAGGCACUGCUGCUUCUCCACAGCACAGGGUGUCCGUUCAACUCAAGGAAAGAAAAUAAAUGAAAGAAAAUUAACUAUUUUUAUUUGGCUAUUUACGUGCCCAUUUUGUACAACAAUUGAAUUGGGGCUUAUGAUAUGAGCAACCUUGGUAUUAAUGAUGAUGUUAUGUAACACGCUGUAACGGGCCUGAUAACGGUAACAUGCUGUAAUGGGCCUGAUAACGGUAACAUGCUGUAAUGGGCCUAAAAACAGUAACAUGCUGUAACGGGCCUGAUAACGGUAACAUGCUGUAACGGGCCUGAUAACGGNNNNNNNNNNNNNNNNNNNNNNNNNNNNNNNNNNNNNNNNNNNNNNNNNNNNNNNNNNNNNNNNNNNNNNNNNNNNNNNNNNNNNNNNNNNNNNNNUUUUUUUGUGUUGGUUAUUCUGCUGUUGCUCUAAGUCAGGUAUUCCCAAACACGCAAUCCUGUAACAUUAUUUUUUUUUAAUGUUUCUUAACAUUUUCAAACAGUACAUUUAUAUUUUCGGAAAGGGCUAUACAUUUGGAGGUCUUUUUCUUGCCUGAGUAACCUAGUUUCACUGCCAAAAAUAAAAUUAAACCAUCUAGUGUUCAGCGAAAUAACAACACAAUGUCAAAUACAGGCAGCUGAGUCAAAUAAUUAACAUCCAAUCACAUUAAUGUUUACUGUCUCACAGGAAUUCCACAAACGGUCCGCAUGUAGCCAAACGUAGCUGCUGCUCAUUCCGUUUGCUCGAAAAUUGAUAAAUCGUUUAAAAAAAGUAAGGCCAUAUUGCUAGUACUGCUACUACCAGCAGUACUACAGUACUACACCUGCACCUGUCGACCACACANNNNNNNNNNNNNNNNNNNNNNNNNNNNNNNNNNNNNNNNNNNNNNNNNNNNNNNNNNNNNNNNNNNNNNNNNNNNNNNNNNNNNNNNNNNNNNNNNNNNNNNNNNNNNCGCUGUAACGGGCCUGAUAACGCUAACACGCUGUGACGGGCCUGAUAACGGUAACACGCUGUAACGGGCCUGAUAACGGUAACACGCUGUGACGGGCCUGAUAACGGUAACACGCUGUAACGGGCCUGAUAACGGUAUAGUUAAAGUGACUAUGCAUAUAUGAUAAACAGAGAGUAGUAGCAGUGUAAAAGAGGGGUUGGGGGGGAACACAAUGCAAAUAGUCCGGGUACCCAUUUGGUUACCUAUUCAGGAGUCUAAUGGCUUGGGGGUAAAAACUGUUGAGAAGCCUUUUUCUCCUAGACUUGGCACUCCGGUACCGCUUGCCAUGCAGUAGUAGAGAGAACAGUCUAUCACUGGGGUGGCUGGGUCCUUAGACAAUUUUUAGGGCCUUCCUCUGACACCGCCUGGUGUAGAGGUCCUGGAUGGCAGACAGCUUAGCCCCAGUGAUGUACUGGGCCGUACGCACUACCCUCUGUAGUGCCUUGCGGUCGGAGGCCGAGCAGUUGCCGUACCAGGCAGUGAUGCAACCAGGAUGCUCUCGAUUUUGCAGCUGUAGAACCUUUUGAGGAUCUGAGGACCCAUGCCAAAUCUUUUUAGUUUCCUGAGGGGGGAAUAGGCUUUGUCGUGCCCUCUUCACGACUGUCUUGGUGUGUUUGGACCAUUCUAGUUUGUUGGUGAUGUGGACACCAAGGAACUUGAAGCUCUCAACCUGCUCCACUACAGCCCCGUCGAUGAGAAUGGGGACGUGCUCGGUGCUCCUUUUCCUGUAGUCCAUAAUCAUCUCCUUAGUCUUGGUUACGUUGAGGGAUAGGUUGUUAUUCUGGCACCACCCGGCCAGGUCUCUGACCACCUCCCUAUAGGCUGUCUCGUUGUUGGUGAUCAAACCACUGUUGUGUCGUCUGCAAACUUAAUGAUGGUGUCGUGCCUGGCCAUGUAGUCGUGGGUGAACAGGGAGUACAGGAGGGGACUGAGCAUGCACCCCUGAGGGGCUCCAGUGUUGAGGAUCAGUGUGGCAGAUGUGUUGCUACCUAUCCUUACCACCUGGGGGCGGCAGGAAGUCCAGGAUCCAGUUGCAGAGGGAGGUGUUUAGUCCCAGGAUCCUUUGCUUAGUGAUGACUUUUGAGGGUAUUAUGGUGUUGAACGCUGAGCUGUAGUCAAUGAACAGCAUUCUCACGUAGGCGUUCCUUUUGUCCAGGUGGGAAAGGGCAGUGUGGAGUGGAUUAGAGAUUUGAUCAUCUGAGGAUCUGUUUGGGCGGUAUUCAAAUUGGAGUUGGUCUAGGGUUUCUGGGAAAAUGGUGUUGAUGUGAGCCAUUACCAGCCUUUCAAAGCACUUCAUGGCUACGGACGUGAGUGCUACGGGUCUGUAGUCAUUUAGGCAGGUUACCUUUGUGUUCUUUGGCACAGGGACUAUGAUGGUCUGCUUGAAACAUGUUGGUAUUACAGACUCAAUCAGGGACAUGUUGAAAAUGUCAGUGAAGACACCUGCCAGUUGGUCAGCACAUGCCCGGAGCACACGUCCUGGUAAUCCGUCUGGCCCCGCAGCCUUGUGAAUGUUGACCUGUUUAAAGGUCUUACUCACGUCGGCACGGAGAGCGUGAUCACACAGUGGUACGGAACUCCGGUAGGGCAACACCGUAAGAAUAGCGCCUACUUGGUAGUGUGUACCGGACCCCGAGGUGUUCGACCAGUCGGUGAAAGACAACAUCAUCCUCGACAGAGGACAGUUGAUUUGUCAAGGGCAAUGAAUUCCAUUCUUGUCGUAAAUGGAUUUCACCAUUGAGUUGUCUUGCUGAAAUGUUCUUACUCUUUCAAAUGACUGAUGGACUUGUUGACUCCUCGAUCCACACAGCAGACGUUGUGGGUUAGGAAUGCUGUGUUGCAUGUUUAGCGCUAUAUUUUUCGUGGCUUCAUUACGCCAUCUACCUACGUUUAUAUAGGUAUGCAUGUCAGCUUUGACAUCGAUUUUGCACGUUGGCGUUUAUUAACCAAGACAUCGUGCCAAUGCCGAUGUUGGCAUUUUCGCUAAUAUCGGACAAUUCUGAUAUGCUUACCGAUAUAUAUCGAUAUAGCAUCCCUAGCUUUGAUGCCUUAAUGAUUGAGUAUUGCUCUGUUCAAGUAGACUGUGAUUUUGCUGUGGUCUGAUAGGGGUGUCAGUGAACGCUCUAAGAGACUCUCGGUUGAGGUCAGUGAUAAAGUAGUCUACAGUACUACUGCCAAGAGAUGAGCUAUAGCUGUACCUACUAGAGGUCGACCGAUUAUGAUUUUUCAACACGAUACCGAUUAUUGGAGGACCAAAAAAGCCGAUACCGAUUAAUCAGCCGACUCUCC